rnacentral:rRNA from 1 species
UGGGGAAUUUUGGACAAUGGGCGAAAGCCUGAUCCAGCAAUGCCGCGUGUGUGAAGAAGGCCUUCGGGUUGUAAAGCACUUUUGUCCGGAAAGAAAUCCUUGGCUCUAAUACAGUCGGGGGAUGACGGUACCGGAAGAAUAAGCACCGGCUAACUACGUGCCAGCAGCCGCGGUAAUACGUAGGGUGCAAGCGUUAAUCGGAAUUACUGGGCGUAAAGCGUGCGCAGGCGGUUUGCUAAGACCGAUGUGAAAUCCCCGGGCUCAACCUGGGAACUGCAUUGGUGACUGGCAGGCUAGAGUAUGGCAGAGGGGGGUAGAAUUCCACGUGUAGCAGUGAAAUGCGUAGAGAUGUGGAGGAAUACCGAUGGCGAAGGCAGCCCCCUGGGGCCAAAUACUGACGCUCAUGCACGAAAGCGUGGGGAGCAAACAGGAUUAGAUACCCUGGUAGUCCACGCCCUAAACGAUGUCAACUAGUUGUUGGGGAUUCAUUUCCUUAGUAACGUAGCUAACGCGUGAAGUUGACCGCCUGGGGAGUACGGUCGCAAGAUUAAAACUCAAAUGAAUUG